rnacentral:rRNA from 1 species
GACGAACGCUGGCGGCGUGCCUAAUACAUGCAAGUCGAGCGAACAGAAGCAGCAGAAUUACUUCGGUAAGGACGCUGUGGAAGUUAGCGGCGGAUGGGUGAGUAACACGUGGGUAACCUACCCUUAAGACUGGGAUACCACUUGGAAACAGGUGCUAAUACCGGAUAGGAGUAUGAGCUGCAUGGCUUAUACUUUAAAGGCGGCGAAAGCUGUCACUAAAGGAUGGACCCGCGGUGCAUUAGCUAGUUGGUAAGGUAACGGCUUACCAAGGCGACGAUGCAUAGCCGAGUUGAGAGACUGAUCGGCCACAUUGGGACUGAGACACGGCCCAAACUCCUACGGGAGGCAGCAGUAGGGAAUCUUCCACAAUGGACGCAAGUCUGAUGGAGCAACGCCGCGUGAGUGAAGAAGGUUUUCGGAUCGUAAAGCUCUGUUGUUGGUGAAGAAGGAUAUAGGUAGUAACUGGCCUAUAUUUGACGGUAAUCAACCAGAAAGUCACGGCUAACUACGUGCCAGCAGCCGCGGUAAUACGUAGGUGGCAAGCGUUGUCCGGAUUUAUUGGGCGUAAAGCGAGCGCAGGCGGAGAAAUAAGUCUGAUGUGAAAGCCCACGGCUCAACCGUGGAACUGCAUCGGAAACUGUUUUUCUUGAGUGCAGAAGAGGAGAGUGGAACUCCAUGUGUAGCGGUGGAAUGCGUAGAUAUAUGGAAGAACACCAGUGGCGAAGGCGGCUCUCUGGUCUGCAACUGACGCUGAGGCUCGAAAGCAUGGGUAGCGAACAGG